rnacentral:rRNA from 1 species
UACGUAGGGGGCUAGCGUUGCUCGGAAUCACUGGGCGUAAAGCGCACGUAGGCGGAUUGUUAAGUCAGGGGUGAAAUCCUGGAGCUCAACUCCAGAACUGCCUUUGAUACUGACGGUCUUGAGUUCGGGAGAGGUGAGUGGAACUGCGAGUGUAGAGGUGAAAUUCGUAGAUAUUCGCAAGAACACCAGUGGCGAAGGCGGCUCACUGGCCCGAUACUGACGCUGAGGUGCGAAAGCGUGGGGAGCAAACAGG